rnacentral:tRNA from 1 species
AUUAUGAUUAUGUUCUGGCACAUGAACGCUUGCAGGAACUACAAGAGGCGCGCAAGAAUCA